GCCGAUGUAGCUCAGGGGUAGAGCAACGGUUUCGUAAACCGUAGGUCGGCGGUUCGAAUCCGCCCAUCGGCU
rnacentral:tRNA from 1 species